rnacentral:rRNA from 1 species
UACGAAGGGGGCUAGCGUUGCUCGGAAUGACUGGGCGUAAAGGGCGCGUAGGCGGCUCUAUUUGUCAGGCGUGAAAUUCCUGGGCUCAACCUGGGGGCUGCGCUUGAGACGGUGGGGCUAGAGGUCAGAAGAGGCUCGUGGAAUUCCCAGUGUAGAGGUGAAAUUCGUAGAUAUUGGGAAGAACACCGGUGGCGAAGGCGGUCUGCUGGGCAGUGGCUCGCAAGGGCCAAUAGCCGACACUGAGGCGCGACAGCGUGGGGAGCAAACAGG